rnacentral:rRNA from 1 species
CCUACGGGGCGCAGCAGUGAGGAAUAUUGGUCAAUGGGCGGGAGCCUGAACCAGCCAAGCCGCGUGAAGGAAGAAGGCGCCAAGCGUCGUAAACCUCUUUUGUCGGGGAACAAAGGGCGCCACGUGUGGCGUUGUGAGAGUACCCGAAGAAAAAGCAUCGGCUAACUCCGUGCCAGCAGCCGCGGUAAUACGGAGGAUGCGAGCGUUAUCCGGAUUUAUUGGGUUUAAAGGGUGCGCAGGCGGACAGGAAAGUCAGCGGUAAAAGUGCGGGGCUCAACCCCGGCGAGCCGUUGAAACUGGCGGAG